rnacentral:rRNA from 1 species
ACGAAUGACUCUCGGCAACGGAUAUCUAGGCUCUUGCAUCGAUGAAGAACGUAGCGAAAUGCGAUACUUGGUGUGAAUUGCAGAAUCCCGUGAACCAUCGAGUCUUUGAACGCAAGUUGCGCCCGAAGCCAUCAGGUUGAGGGCACGUCUGCCUGGGCGUCACAU